GAUCCUGGCUUAGGAUGAACGCUAGCGACAGGCUUAACACAUGCAAGUCGAGGGGCAGCACGGGAGUAGCAAUACAACUGGUGGCGACCGGCGCACGGGUGAGUAACGCGUAUGCAACCUACCUAUCAGAGGGGAAUAACCCGGCGAAAGUCGGACUAAUACCGCAUAAAACAGGGGCACCGCAUGGUGAUAUUUGUUAAAGAAAUUCGCUGAUAGAUGGGCAUGCGUUCCAUUAGGUAGUUGGUGAGGUAACGGCUCACCAAGCCGACGAUGGAUAGGGGAACUGAGAGGUUGGUCCCCCACACUGGUACUGAGACACGGACCAGACUCCUACGGGAGGCAGCAGUGAGGAAUAUUGGUCAAUGGGCGAGAGCCUGAACCAGCCAAGUCGCCGUGAAGGAAGAAGGAUCUAUGGUUCGUAAACUUCUUUUGCAGGGGAAUAAAGUGCGGGACGUGUCCUGUUUUGUAUGUACCCUGAGAAUAAGGAUCGGCUAACUCCGUGCCAGCCGCCGC
rnacentral:rRNA from 1 species